rnacentral:ncRNA from 1 species
UACAAGUUUGAUUCUUGCUUUAAAUUCUUAUUAUAUAAAUAAAUAACACAUGAAAAAUUUUACAAUCCAAAUAAAUAAUCACUAAAAGUAAUAUUCACUUUAAUCUUUAAUAAAAUCUCAGUGUAUAAUAUUAAUACAUCAACUAAAAUUGGAAUUAAUAAUUAAUAAAAUUUCCGGCCAAAACUUGUGCCAGCAGCCGCGGUUAUACUUUAAGAAAAAAUAAGAAAACUUUAGCAAAUAGUUAAUUACAUAUCCUCUUAGAUAAACUUAAUAAUAUAAAGAGUGAAAUCAAAAUAUAAUUAUUAACAACAUCUUAUAAAAAUAAUAAAUGAAACUAUAAAAAUUAAAACACAAACUGAGAUUAGAUACCUCACUAUAUUUAAUAUUAAUCUUAACUCUUGAUUAUUAAUAGCUAUAAUCUUUAAAUUCAAAGAAUUUGGCGGUAUUUUAGCCUAGUUAGAGGAACCUGUUUUAUAAUCGACAAACCACGUUAAUUUUACUUGCUUUAAAUAGCCUGUAUACCGUCAUUAUUAGAUAACUUUUAAAGAAAUAGUUAUUAUAAUUAAACUCAAAUUAAAUAUAUUAGAUCAAGGCGCAGCUAAUAUGCAAGUAAAAAUGGGUUACAAUAAAACUUAUUUACCACGAAAUGUUAUAAGAAAAAUAACAUAAAGGAGGAUUUAAUUGUAAUUAUCUAUAAAAAGAUAUUUUGAUAUCAGCUCUAAAAUAUGUACAUAUCGCCCGUCGCUUUCAUUAUUAAAAUGAGAUAAGUCGUAACAUAGUAGGUGUACUGGAAAGUGUCCCUAGAAAUCA